UUAAGUUGUCAAACAGAUUUUCUAGGUGGCAAAAGAUCUGGACUAUUUCUACUUUGAUCUCAUUUCUUGUAUUUCUUUGAGAAUGGUUUGUCCUCCUAAUGGUGUCUGGAGCUCUACCCCUCUGCCCUAUCAGAUGCUCAGAAGUCCAUCCAGCUCGCCCCUGAUUGGCCAAAGGGAUACUUCCUCAAGGGGAGUGCACUGAUGGGGUUAAAGCUGUAUGGUGAAGCAGAAAGGGCCAUGGAGCAGGUGAUAAAGCUGGAUCAGGACUGAGAUGAGUCCUCCACUGAGGUCUUCAACUGCAAGUGGUGGACCUCUCCUCCCUCUCAGGACUCCAGUGGUGGACCUCUCCUCCCCUCCCCUCAG